rnacentral:rRNA from 1 species
AUUGAACGCUGGCGGAAUGCUUUACACAUGCAAGUCGGGCGGCAGCACGGGGGCAAACCCUGGUGGCGAGCGGCGAACGGGUGAGUAAUACAUCGGAACGUACCCUGUCGUGGGGGAUAACGAAUCGAAAGAUUCGCUAAUACCGCAUACGACCUGAGGGUGAAAGCGGGGGAUCGCAAGACCUCGCGCGAUAGGAGCGGCCGAUGUCGGAUUAGCUAGUUGGUGGGGUAAAGGCUCACCAAGGCGACGAUCCGUAGCGGGUCUGAGAGGACGGCCCCGCCACACUGGGACUGAGACACGGCCCAGACUCCUACGGGAGGCAGCAGUGGGGAAUUUUGGACAAUGGGGGCAACCCUGAUCCAGCCAUUCCGCGUGAGUGAAGAAGGCCUGGUGUAAGUAGUCUUCGUC